rnacentral:rRNA from 1 species
UACGUAGGUGGCAAGCGUUGUCCGGAUUUACUGGGCGUAAAGAGCGCGCAGGCGGUCAGAUAAGUCGAAUGUGAAAGCCCCCGGCUCAACUGGGGAGGGGCAUUCGAUACUGUUCGACUCGAAGGCAGGAGAGGGAAGUGGAAUUCCCGGUGUAGUGGUGAAAUGCGUAGAGAUCGUAAGGAAGACCAGUGGCGAAGGCGGGUCUCUGGGCAGUAACUGACGCUGAGGAGCGAAAGCGUGGGGAGCGAACAGG